AGCUCCAAUAGCAUAUGUUAAAGUUGUUGCGGUUGAAAAGCUCGUAGUCGGACUUCUGCUGAGGGUUGCUAACCCGCCCUCCGGGCGAUGGUCUGGCCUGCCUCAGUAUCUUCUUGGAGAAUGUAGAUGCACUUGACUGUGUGGUGCGCUAUCUGAGGCUGUUACUUUGAGGAAAUUGGAGUGCUUCAAGCAGGUUGUUUGCCCUGAAUACAUUAGCAUGGCAUGACGAUGCAGAACCUCAUGUUCUUCUUUGUUGGUUUUAGAGCAGAGGGGAAGGUGAAUAGGAACAAUUGGGGGUAUUCAAAUUUGACUGUCAGAGGUGAAAUUCUUGGAUUUGUCAAAGAUGGACUACUGCGAAAGCAUCUGCCAGAGAUGUCUUCA
rnacentral:rRNA from 1 species